rnacentral:rRNA from 1 species
UACAGAGGUCUCAAGCGUUGUUCGGAUUCAUUGGGCGUAAAGGGUGCGUAGGUGGCGCCGUAAGUCGGGUGUGAAAUUUCGAGGCUUAACCUCGAAACUGCAUUCGAUACUGCGGUGCUUGAGGACUGGAGAGGAGACUGGAAUUCAUGGUGUAGCAGUGAAAUGCGUAGAGAUCAUGAGGAAGACCAGUGGCGAAAGGCGGGUCUCUGGACAGUUCCUGACACUGAGACACGAAGGCCAGGGGAGCAAACGGG